AUUGAACGCUGGCGGCAGGCCUAACACAUGCAAGUCGAACGGUAGCACAAAGGAGCUUGCUCCUUGGGUGACGAGUGGCGGACGGGUGAGUAAUGUCUGGGGAACUGCCUGAUGGAGGGGGAUAACUACUGGAAACGGUAGCUAAUACCGCAUAACGUCGCAAGACCAAAGAGGGGGACCUUCGGGCCUCUUGCCAUCAGAUGUGCCCAGAUGGGAUUAGCUAGUAGGUGGGGUAAUGGCUCACCUAGGCGACGAUCCCUAGCUGGUCUGAGAGGAGGACCGGCCACACGGGAACUGAGAAACGGUCCAGGCUCCUACGGGAGGCAGCAGUGGGGAAUAUUGCACAAUGGGCGCAAGCCUGAUGCAGCCAUGCCGCGUGUAUGAAGAAGGCCUUCGGGUUGUAAAGUACUUUCAGCGGGGAGGAAGGUGAUACGGUUAAUAACCGUGUCAAUUGACGUUACCCGCAGAAGAAGCACCGGCUAACUCCGUGCCAGCCGCCGCCGUAA
rnacentral:rRNA from 1 species